AUUUUAGUUGCCUUUCUCAAUAUUGUUGUGGUCACCACGGCCUCUACCACGACCAUAGGCUCCACCUCAGCCUCUACUACAACCACGUCCUCGAUCAUGGCCGCGGCUUCUUUGACUACUUUCACCUCUUGACUCAUACUUCUUGUCAUUGAUGGAGAGCUUGCUUUAUAGAACUUGCUCCAAUGGCUCUUGUCUUCUCUUUGGUAUUCUUUGCUCAUGGGCUUGAAGUAAACCCAUAAGCUCAUCCACCGUCAUAGUGUCCAAGUCUUUGGACUCUUCAAUGGCCACCACAACAUAAUCAAAUUUGUGAUCCAAAGAUUGUAGGAUUUUCUCCACUAUCCGAUUGUCAUCAAGUGUCUCACCAUUUCUCCUCAAUUGAUUUACAAUGAUCAAGACUCUUGUAAAGAAAUUCGAGAU
rnacentral:lncRNA from 1 species